rnacentral:rRNA from 1 species
AUGGCAGAGGGCCAUCCCCGGUCCACCACCUCCAACAUCAAGCGAUGCCUCACUCUCCUUUCCACCGUUCAGAUCCAGACGCCGGCGAGGUCACAUACCUCUGCUUCUGUGUGGUUUAUUUUCUUUGUAAAUGUACUCCCUUUGUUUAUUUUCCAGUUUUUUGCUGUUGAUUUUGGUCGUGCAGUGCACCGCGUGAGUGUAAGCAGCACACCUGUCGGCACCGUGCAGUCAAGAUUUGAGUUGUCUGCAGAUAUGGAAAGUGCAAAAAUGCAAUUCCCUUGUUGCCAAAAAAGCAGCAAAAAAGCAGCAAAAAAAUUCAAGUUUUUCUCUUUUGCCAUAGUGCAGUUAAAAACCAGGAAAAUGUGGUGCACUUUGGUCUUGAAAAAUUCCACUACAAAGGACUCUUCUGAUUUCAAACAAAAUGCAUUUAAAAACAUGCAACACUGUAGUGUACUUUGGUCUACAAAAAAGUCCACCACGAAGGACUUUUCCGUACACACACUUCAAAACAAAAUGUAUUUAAAAACCUGCAAAACUGCAGUGCACUUUGGUAUACAAAAAAGUCCACCGCAAAGGACUUUUCACUACACACAUUUUAAAACAAAAUGCAUUUAA